rnacentral:rRNA from 1 species
AGAGUUGAUCAUGGCUCGAGACGAACGCUGGCGGCGUGCUUCAUACAUGCAAGUCGAACGAGAAGCUCACUUCGGUGGGUGGACAGUGGCGGACGGGUGAGUAAUGUGUAGAGAAUCUGCCCUUGAGAGGGGAUAGCAGUUGGAAACGACUAUUAAUACCCCAUACGAGCGUAAUUGAGAUAUUAUGUUUGAAAAACUCCGGUGCUCAGGGAUGAGUCUGCAUCUGAUUAGCUAGUUGGGGGUGUAAUGGACCACCAAGGCGACGAUCAGUAGCUGGUUUGAGAGGAUGAUCAGCCACAAUGGGACUGAGACACGGCCCAUACUCCUACGGGAGGCAGCAGUAGGGAAUUUUGCGCAAUGGGCGAAAGCCUGACGCAGCCAACGCCGCGUGAUCGAGACGCUUUUCGGAGUGUAAAGAUCUGUCAGUGGGGACGAACAAUGACUGUACCCACAGAGGAAGCACCGGCUAACUCCGUGCCAGCCGCGGC